rnacentral:sRNA from 3 species
CCCUAGCCCCGAUAGUAGCGGAAAUCCUUUUGUGCCGGGGUUCGGCACAAAAGAUUGUAGCGGAUAGCGGGAAAUAGC